rnacentral:SRP_RNA from 1 species
CCGUGCUAGGCGGGGAACUAGCGGUGCCCUGUACCUGCAAUCCGCUCCAGCAGGGCUGAACUCCCUCCCGAGGUUUCCGCUCCCGAACGCCGCCCGACGGCGCGACGUUGAGGACCGGGUCCCGCGCAGCGGCGAACCGCGAACCGUGUCAGAUCCGGAAGGAAGCAGCACUAAGCGACCAUCGCCGGGUGCCGCGGUACGGCCUGGUCCGAGCCGCCCGUCGACGUGGGCACGGGUCGGCGACGAUCGACGGGGGGUGCACGG